rnacentral:rRNA from 1 species
GUAACAAGGUCUCUGUUGGUGAACCAGCGGAGGGAUCAUUACAGAGUUGCAAAACUCCCUAAACCAUCGUGAACGCUACCUAAACCGUUGCUUCGGCGGGCGGCGCCCUCGCGCGCCCCCCUGGGGCCCGCACCGCGGGCGCCCGCCGGAGGUACACCAAACUCUUGAUAUGUUAUGGCCACUCUGAGUCUCCUGUACUGAAUAAGUCAAAACUUUCAACAACGGAUCUCUUGGUUCUGGCAUCGAUGAAGAACGCAGCGAAAUGCGAUAAGUAAUGUGAAUUGCAGAAUUCAGUGAAUCAUCGAAUCUUUGAACGCACAUUGCGCCCGCCAGCAUCCUGGCGGGCAUGCCUGUUCGAGCGUCAUUUCAACCCAUCAAGCCCACGGCUUGUGUUGGGGACCUGCGGCUGCCCGCAGGCCCUGAAAACCAGUGGCGGGCUCGCUAGUCACACCGGGCGUAGUAGCAUACGACCUCGCUCAGGGCGUGCUGCGGGUUCCAGCCGUAAAACGACCUUCAGAACCCAAGGUUGACCUCGGAUCAGGUAGGAGGACCCGCUGAACUUAAGCAUAUCAUA